rnacentral:rRNA from 1 species
AACGAACGCUGGCGGCGUGCCUAACACAUGCAAGUCGAACGUGAUUGGAAGCUUGCUUCCAUGAAAGUGGCGCACGGGUGAGUAACGCGUAGAUAAUCUGCCUGAUGAUCCGGGAUAACACCUCGAAAGGGGUGCUAAUACCGGAUAAGCCCACGGGGUCUUCGGACUCUGCGGGAAAAGGGGGGGACUUUCGGGCCUUCCGUCAUCAGAUGAGUCUGCGUACCAUUAGCUAGUUGGUAGGGUAAAGGCCUACCAAGGCGACGAUGGUUAGCUGGUCUGAGAGGAUGAUCCGCCACACUGGAACUGAGACACGGUCCAGACUCCUACGGGAGGCAGCAGUGGGGAAUUUUGCGCAAUGGGGGAAACCCUGACGCAGCAACGCCGCGUGAGUGAUGAAGGCCCUUGGGUCGUAAGGCUCUGACAGAGGGAAAGGAGUGCAGGGGUGCUAAUAUCACCUUUGCUUGACGGUACCCUCAAAGGAAGCACCGGCUAACUCCGUGCCAGCAGCCGCCGUAAUAC